rnacentral:rRNA from 1 species
CUACGGGAGGCAGCAGUCGGGAAUAUUGCCCAAUGCGCGAAAGCGUGAGGCAGCAACGCCGCGUGCGCGAUGAAGGCCUUCGGGUCGUAAAGCGCUUUUCAGUGGGAUGAGGAAGGACAGUACCACUGGAAUAAGGUACGGCUAACUACGUGCCAGCAGCCGCGGUAAAACGUAGGUACCGAGCGUUAUCCGGAUUUACUGGGCGUAAAGCGUGUUCAGGCGGUCUAGCAAGUCGGGCAUGAAAUCUCUCGGCUCAACCGGGAGGGGUUGUCCGAUACUGCUGGACUGGAGGGCAGCAGAGGGUGGUGGAAUUCCGGGUGUAGUGGUGAAAUGCGUAGAUAUCCGGAGGAACACCAGUGGCGAAGGCGGCCACCUGGGCUGUACCUGACGCUAACACACGAAAGCUAGGGGAGCGAACGGGAUUAGAUACCCUUGUAGUCC